rnacentral:rRNA from 1 species
UACGUAGGGUGCAAGCGUUGUCCGGAAUCAUUGGGCGUAAAGCGCGCGUAGGUGGCUUCGUAAGUCCGUUGUGAAAGUCAAAGGCUCAACCUUUGAAUGCCGAUGGAUACUGCGAAGCUAGAGUACGGAAGAGGCGAGUGGAAUUCCUGGUGUAGCGGUGGAAUGCGCAGAUAUCAGGAGGAACACCAAUAGCGAAGGCAGCUCGCUGGGACGUUACUGACAC